UUCCGUCUUUGGCUUUGGUAGGGCGCCGAGGAGAGGGCGUGUGGGAGGCGGGACUCGAGGCCGGCCUGGCGGCUGGGCGUGGCUAUGUAAAGGAGCUGCGCGUUGGACGCUGGGUUGGGCCGCUGCGGCUUCCCUUAAGGUGGGCGGCUGGGAUUCCCGGCCGUGAGGCUGCGGGAAAGCUGGGAGGAGGAGGAGGAUCCGGGAAACCUCCUAGGACCAGAGGAGACUUCCAGAAGGCUGAAACCCAACUCCCCACAGUCCUCGCCCAUGACAAAACCCAAAGGCCGGCCUCCGACAACAAUCGUCCUGCUUCAGCCUCCCAAGUGCUAGGAUUACAGCAGAUGGAUCAGGCAUUACAAAUGAGUGAACAGCGACACAUUGGACUUGCCGGUUAUAUUGGAAAAGUAGACAACCAUUUCCCUAAUUCUAAACUUUCACAGUUCCUAAAACGGCAUGACUGGAUUUUACCUCAAAUUGUGCGCUCUGAACCUACACCAGCAGCAGACACAUAUUCCACUGAUGGUGGCAGCAAUGGGAAAGCCGGAUAUGUAGAAAGAAUUUCAAAAGUAUGGCAUGCUCCUUUUCAUUCUGCACAAAGAGCAGAACUCCAGGCAGUGACCCAACUCUUACUAGAUGUUCCAGAAUCCAUUAGUAUUGUUACAGACUCCCAGGAUGUGUGGUUCACAGUUGAUCAUACACGAACAGCUACUUUGUCAAAUGAUACUGAACUUAAUCAAUUGUUCUGCCAAUUAUAAAUUAAUAUUCGUCAUAGAGAUUUUCCUAUUUACAUAACUCAUAUUCGUUCUCAUUCACCCCUUCCUGGUGACAUGGUUAAAUAGAAUGAUGAAGCUGAUAAACUUGUUGCUAUUUCUUCACCAGAUUGUUUAGCCACUGGAUUUCAUGCUUUAACUCACGUGAAUACCAAAGGUUUACGUUAAAAAAUUUCCUCAACUUUCCAUUCAACAAGCUUGCAAGGGGCUGGGGACUUAGCUCAGUGGCACAGCGCC